rnacentral:rRNA from 1 species
UCGACAUUUCGAACGCACAUUGCGGUCCUCGGAUACGAUUCCCGGACCACGUCUGGCUGAGGGUC